rnacentral:misc_RNA from 1 species
CCCGUGAUUGGAGAAAUAAUAUGUAUAAGUUAACCAAUUAGACAGGGAAUUAAGAAAAACAUAAGCAAAAUUGCAGGAAACAGUGGGAGAAUAUUUUAUUUAUUUAUUCAUAAAGAUACAUAGGUACAUUUCUAGGUAAGCGUGUUCCAUCUUAGACCGCAUUGUCACUUAACAUCAGGUGAAAUAGUUGCCAAACGUAAGCCUAUCAUAAUGUAAGAA